UUUACAUUUCAUUCAUCCCUGCUAAAUGGGACGUAUACCUAUGUGACCAGGUGAAUAAACCACAUAUCAGGACAAGUCCUGACACGCCCUGAUACAUUGCAUGUGACAUCACCAUAAUUCCACAGCGGUGUUCUAACUGCAGCAGGGUAUAAAGCAGGGAGCCCAGAGCCCAUUCAUCAGUCUGACCUUGACCAGAGCUAACAACAACCAUGGCUCAGCUAAGAAGACUUCAUGCCGGCAGAAGACAUGCCAAGAGAAGACGACAUGUCCACAGACAUAGCCACGUUCACAGAAGACAAAGACGCAGAAGGGCACCGAAACCAAAAAGCCACCGUAGAGCAGGCUACAGACGCAGACGCCGCCACCAUGUUGAAUGAUGACCGCCGUCCUGCGCCUUCGCCCUACUCGCUGACUCUUCUGCAACAAAAUACCAGAAAAUGAAUUCAAGUGACACAGCAGGACAAUGAAGACUUCUUUUUGGCAUACGCUUCGGCAUAAUCUUACCAGACUCAUCAGCAACAAAAAUACCAAAAAAAGAAAACAAAGUAACAAAAAUAAAUAAAUAAUCAAAAUUCAGCACAA